rnacentral:rRNA from 1 species
GAUGAACGCUGGCUACAGGCUUAACACAUGCAAGUCGAGGGGAAACGACGGGGAAGCUUGCUUCCCCGGGCGUCGACCGGCGCACGGGUGAGUAACGCGUAUCCAACCUGCCUCUGACUGAGGGAUAACCCGUCGAAAGUCGGCCUAAUACCUCAUGGCAUCGUCUGCGGGCAUCCAACGACGAUUAAAGAUUUCAUCGGUCAGGGAUGGGGAUGCGUCUGAUUAGCUUGUUGGCGGGGUAACGGCCCACCAAGGCUACGAUCAGUAGGGGUUCUGAGAGGAAGGUCCCCCACAUUGGAACUGAGACACGGGCCAAACUCCUACGGGAGGCAGCAGUGAGGAAUAUUGGUCAAUGGGCGGGAGCCUGAACCAGCCAAGUAGCGUGCAGGAUGACGGCCCUAUGGGUUGUAAACUGCUUUUAUGCGGGGAUAAAGUGAGGGACGUGUCCUUCAUUGCAGGUACCGCAUGAAUAAGGACCGGCUAAGUCCGUG